rnacentral:lncRNA from 1 species
AGGGAGAGGCCGCUGAUGGGCAAAAAGAGGAGGACAGAGACCUGGAAAACACUAACAAGGGCCCAGUAUAUGCAUGGGAAGCAGACGGCUGAUGUUCGGGUGGAGUUCAGGUUCAGUAUGCUCCAGCAGCACCCAUCGGAGAACCCAUUGCUUGGAACCAACUGAAAGAGAUGCAGGUGACAGGAAGGUGAAAAUACAUAUCUCUGUAUCACUAAGGAAGCUGCUUGUCGUAUGUGCCUUGAGGAUGUCCAGGUGGUCUUGAUAACGUACAUCUCCCCCAUUAAUGAAACUUACCUGCUAUGCUCCUGGUUAUGCCUUGAGACCACAGCCUACCUGAGCACACUUUGCACAUCACAGAGCCAAGUAGCCAGAGUCCAUCUGCUCAGCAGGCAGGAGGAGGCUGAAGGGCAGGCAGAAGAGGCUCUGCUCACACCCAGGGCUUUCUCCUUGAGCUCAGGGGUGACAAGGCGGCUAGAGAGGCUGGAGUGUAUCCCAUUCUUAGUGUUUCCUAUGUUCCUGGAAGUGCAACAGGCGUCACCAUGAGAAUUUCAGUGGGUUGACAUAG